CUCACCAAUAAAAUUUCUUGUUCGUCGGACCCGCGCGCUCGUAUUUUAGAGAAACGUAAAAAAUAAUAUUAUUUUUAAAUAUCCCGCUUCCGGAAAUUUUCGUUCCAAUUCCCGCCCCAUUUUUCAUUUUAUUUUAAAUACUCGGUCAUGUUUGCGUUUGGAAUUGAGAUGAAAACUUCACAUUUCGUCAAAAAACAAGACAACAUUGAUCGAUUUGCAAGUGAAAAGACACUUGCAACUGUUGACACUCUGAUGUUUUGACUAUUGAAUUAAUAUGACAGUAUAUGUCGUUAAAAAUCGGCGCAAACAGGUGAUUGGGGUGAAACUAUCUGCAUUUAGCUCCAAUGAUGCACAAUUUUAAAGCAUGCUUUUAGAGAUACGACAAGGUAACAAGUAAACCUUAUAACUCCAUCGUGACCGUGGUGUACUGUGAGGAUUGGAUAGAGCAUAUCUGUUAUGUUUAGGCAGAUAAGCCCAUCAUAGACAUACAUCAAAUUCUGGAGAUGCCUAAAUGUAGACUUCUUUGGGAUGUUGAGUGUUGAAGCAACUAGUUCCAUCAAGAAUGGGUGGUUUUUCCUGAAUUUCUACAGUGAAAAUAACUGGACUAAAACAACGAGAACUGUUCAUAUAGUCCGACUUAUAUCAGUCAUUCAAGAAGGUCUUCAGUUAAACGGUCAACCAUAUACUGAUAGUGCAUGAAAAUUAUAGGUAGAUGAUAUUUCCAUGAAGCAGUAUAGAAUCGUUUCCAUCUCAGGCAAUUAACAGAUUUCAGGUUUACAUGUACUAAUUCCAAGCUGUUGUGGAUCAACCAGAAGAAAUUAAAGUAUCCAUCGUCCUAAAUGAUCUGCCGAAGUAGCUUCCUAUAAUUGGCAUAAUAUUUAAACAUCUUUGGUACUUUAUUUAAAAAUAUAUAUCAGUCAACUCUUGAGAAUAGAAAAAAAGUCUUGAUUUUAAUGAUAUUUUCUCAUUUUAUAACUGAAGUUCAACCUUAUUCUUUUGGGCUCUCUGCCAAUUAUAUUUCAUUAUAUAUUUGUGAAUUACAAUAUGUAUUAUAAUAAUAACUUAUCACUGCUGCCAUAACUUGUCGAUGGUUCUACAAUGUCUGAUUUUUUAUUAUGUGAAUUAAAAUUUGGGGCCAUGUUAAGCUUCUGAUAUAGUGCAUAAAUAUAGGAAAAUAAUAAUGAAUUGGCCACUUUUAUGUGAAUGUACAUAGUCUUGAUCACAUCAUAUUUUGUUAUUACUGUUUUCAAACAUACAUGUAAAAGAUGGAGGUAACAAACACUUUUUAAAAGUUAUAAAUCUCAUAAAUGUACAUAUAGUAAACAAAGCAAAUCUUGUACAGGGCAAAAACAUGGUCCCCUGAUAACACCAAAGGUUUGGGGUGCAUAGGAGAGUUAAUAUUCAUUAUUAUUAGGAGGUUUAUUUAAAGAAUUUUGUACCUUUAUGAAAUAAAUGUAAUUAAAGUGAGAAACCAUAGUAACAGUAUUGUUAUGACUGAUUUGUUUAUGUACAAAUAUGGAAUAUUGAAUUCUUACAUGAUGAGGGGAAUUGGAAAAGAUUUCAUAGUGAUUUACUCUAGAAAUGUUAAGGAAAACAAAAAAUAUAUAAUCGCUCGCUCCGUUAUUUUACUUCACCGCCUGGAAAUUAUGUUGAUUGAAAAUAAUAAUAUUAUAAUUAUCAAAUCGCUCGCUCGCCCCAAUUUUUAGGGGUCAGUUGUCCGAAGAACAAGAAAUUUUAUUGGUGUGGCCUAA